rnacentral:lncRNA from 1 species
CCACCUUCUUCCUAACUCGACAAUGGAUAAAUUGAGAAUCGUUUUGAAGUAUUUGGACCUCAAUACAACUUUUCCAAGAAUCCAAAUCCCACCAAAGUAACCUCGGGAUUCAACUUUAUAGGAGUAGUCAAAAUCAAGAUUAGAAAUAAUCCUAUUUGCCUUAACACCACUCACCCUUGUCUUAAGAAAAGAAGCUAUGUCGACUUCAUGUUCAUUAAAAUAGUCUUUGAUAACCC